rnacentral:misc_RNA from 1 species
GCAUCGUUCAAGGUCAUCAGUGGAAGCACCAAAUGCAGGUCUUACUUCAUUAAUGGCAUGCAAAAAGUCAUCCAUAGUCACUUUUAUACUCUCCUCAUCCACUGGUUUGGUAAGAUCAUCCAUGCUUAGUUGCCUGUUCAAUGCAUAGGAUACUGCACUUUUGACUACACCUUCAAGCUCGGCACCACUAUAAUUUUUUGUUCGUGCAGCAAGUUCUUGCAAGUUCACAUCAGGAGAAAGAAAGGAAUUCUCUUUCAUCUUAUUUGUAUGAAUCUGGAGAAUUUGUAGUCGACCAUUUUCAUCAGGAAGGCUU